ACGGCGAGUGAAGCGGUAACAGCUCAAAUUUGAAAUCUGGCUCUCUCAGGGUCCGAGUUGUAAUUUGUAGAAGAUGCUUCGGGUGUGGCUCCGGUCUAAGUCUCUUGGAACAGAGCGUCAUAGAGGGUGAGAAUCCCGUAUGUGACUGGCUGCCUCCGCCCGUGUGAAGCUCUUUCGACGAGUCGAGUUGUUUGGGAAUGCAGCUCUAAAUGGGUGGUAAAUUUCAUCUAAAGCUAAAUAUUGGCCAGAGACCGAUAGCGCACAAGUAGAGUGAUCGAAAGAUGAAAAGCACUUUGGAAAGAGAGUUAAACAGUACGUGAAAUUGUUGAAAGGGAAGCGCUUGCAAUCAGACUUGCGCGCUGCUGAUCAUCGGAGGUUCUCCCCCGUGCACUCGGCAGCGCUCAGGCCAGCAUCGGUUUGGGUGGCUGGAUAAAGGCCGUGGGAAUGUAGCUUCUCUCGGGGAGUGUUAUAGCCCACGGUGCAAUGCAGCCUACCUGGACCGAGGACCGCGCUUCGGCUAGGAUGCUGGCGUAAUGGUUGUAAGCGACCCGUCUUGAAACACGGACCAAGGAGUCUAACAUCUAUGCGAGUAUUUGGGUGUCAAACCCAUAUGCGUAAUGAAAGUGAACGGAGGUGAGAACCCUUAAGGGUGCAUCAUCGACCGGUCCUGAUGUCUUCGGAUGGAUCUGAGUAAGAGCAUAGCUGUUGGGACCCGAAAGAUGGUGAACUAUGCCUGAAUAGGGUGAAGCCAGAGGAAACUCUGGUGGAGGCUCGCAGCGGUUCUGACGUGCAAAUCGAUCGUCAAAUUUGGGUAUAGGGGCGAAAGACUAAUCGAACCAUUGGAUCGGAGGAUUUCACAAUUUGUAAGCUGCAAGCUACUACAAUAUGAAGUACUACUAGGUGGUUAAGAGAUGCGUUGUGAAAGCAACAUCUAGUCGAAGUCAUCGGCUACACUAUCAAAUUGCGGGGACGUCCUGUUUUAAAUUCCAAGCUACCGCAGCUGGCUCGAAAGGGCCGGUGCGCACCAGGCUAAUAACCUCGGGGAUGGUCACAAUGCUUGGAUAGGGAUAAUCCGCAGCCAAUUCCUAAGGACCUCUUGGGUCUAUGGAAGCAGUUCACAGACUAAAUGAUAGUGGGUUCAGCUUGUGCUGAGCUUUAGAUAUAGUCGAUCCGCCAGGAGACUGGUCGGCACAGAGGAGUAAGCAUGGAAUGGCUAUAAGAUCUAUGCUUAGGAGAGCUGUGCUGGGAAGCGUCGUAGGCGCUUCUGGGGAAGUUCCAAUAAUAAAGCUUUAAGAAAGAUUGAUGCGCUUUUCGGAGAUGAUAAAGUGGUAUGUAGCUAAGUUGAGCUGCCAUUUGGGAAAGAUG
rnacentral:rRNA from 1 species